UGAGCGUAGAGAUUACCUCAACAAAUUAAUUAAUUAAUUAAAAUCAAAAUAAAACAUGGAGCCUGACCCUACAGAGGCAACAGCUAUUACAAGUCAACAGCAUUUCUACGAUCAUCAUCAUGAUUUGCCCCGGCCAGCAGAGCUUGUCUCCAAGCCAGAGGAGCAUCAUCAUG